GACGGAGGAUGCAAGUGUUAUCCGGAAUCACUGGGCGUAAAGCGUCUGUAGGUGGUUUCAAAAGUCCACUGUUAAAGAUUGAAGCUUAACUUCAAAAAUGCCGUGGAAACUUUGAAACUUGAGUAUGAUAGGGGUAGAGGGAAUUUCCAGUGGAGCGGUGAAAUGCGUAGAUAUUGGAAAGACCACCAAUGGCGAAGGCACUCUACUGGGCCAUUACUGACACUGAGAGACGAAAAGCUAGGGGGAGCAAACAGG
rnacentral:rRNA from 1 species